UACGGAGGGGGCUAGCGUUGUUCGGAAUUACUGGGCGUAAAGCGCGCGUAGGCGGCUUUGUAAGUUAGAGGUGAAAGCCCAGGGCUUAACCCUGGAAUUGCCUUUAAGACUGCAUCGCUAGAAUCGUGGAGAGGUGAGUGGAAUUCCGAGUGUAGAGGUGAAAUUCGUAGAUAUUGGGAAGAACACCGGUGGCGAAGGCGGCUCACUGGCUCAUUUCUGACGCUCAGGCGCGACAGCGUGGGGAUCAAACAGG
rnacentral:rRNA from 1 species